rnacentral:rRNA from 1 species
CAGCAGCCGCGGGAAAACGUAGGGUGCAAGCGUUAAUCGGAAUUACUGGGCGUAAAGCGUGCGCAGGCGGUUUGUUAAGACAGAUGUGAAAUCCCCGGGCUCAACCUGGGAACUGCAUUUGUGACUGGCAAGCUAGAGUAUGGCAGAGGGGGGUGGAAUUCCGCGUGUAGCAGUGAAAUGCGUAGAUAUGCGGAGGAACACCGAUGGCGAAGGCAGCCCCCUGGGCCAAUACUGACGCUCAUGCACGAAAGCGUGGGGAGCAAACAGGAUUAGAGACCCCAGCAGUCCCUGUCUCUUAUAA